rnacentral:rRNA from 1 species
UGGGGAAUAUUGCACAAUGGGCGCAAGCCUGAUGCAGCCAUGCCGCGUGUAUGAAGAAGGCCUUCGGGUUGUAAAGUACUUUCAGCGGGGAGGAAGGGAGUAAAGUUAAUACCUUUGCUCAUUGACGUUACCCGCAGAAGAAGCACCGGCUAACUCCGUGCCAGCAGCCGCGGUAAUACGGAGGGUGCAAGCGUUAAUCGGAAUUACUGGGCGUAAAGCGCACGCAGGCGGUUUGUUAAGUCAGAUGUGAAAUCCCCGGGCUCAACCUGGGAACUGCAUCUGAUACUGUCAAGCUUGAGUCUCGUAGAGGGGGGUAGAAGUCCAGGUGUAGCGGUGAAAUGCGUAGAGAUCUGGAGGAAUACCGGUGGCGAAGGCGGCCCCCUGGACGAAGACUGACGCUCAGGUGCGAAAGCGGGGGGAGCAAACAGG